rnacentral:rRNA from 1 species
CGAGGAAUUUUCCGCAAUGGGCGAAAGCCUGACGGAGCAACGCCGCGUGGGGGAAGAAGGCCUUCGGGUUGUAAACCCCUGUUGCGAGGGAAGAAGAUCUGACGGUACCUCGCGAGGAAGCCACGGCUAACUACGUGCCAGCAGCCGCGGUAAUACGUAGGUGGCAAGCGUUGUCCGGAUUUACUGGGCGUAAAGCGCGCGCAGGCGGACUGGUCAGUCCGGGGUGAAAUCUCACGGCUCAACCGUGAGGGGUCCCUGGAUACUGCCAGCCUUGAGGGGCUCAGAGGAGAGUGGAAUUCCGGGUGUAGUGGUGGAAUGCGUAGAUAUCAAGAGGAACACCUGAGGUGAAGACGGGUUGCUGGGCUGACACUGACGCUGAGGCGCGAAAGCCAGGGGAGCAAACGGGAUUAGAUACCCGAGUAGUCCCUGAGCGGGCUGGCAAGGCGCAU